AACUCACAUAGUAUACUUUUUCAUUUUUAUGUAGCAGAGAUAGAUUGCACUCAUAGGAAAGUAAUUGAUCGUGUAUAAUGCAAGGAGAAGUCCAAUUUCCCAUUGCAGCUCCACAUGUUAUACUUGUUUUCCACUCAAAAAUGACAAGGAGAUCCAUCCACAUAACGUAACACAGUUUCAUGGUUUUUAUACAAUAUAGGAUUUUCUUUUGGAAACCCUAAACUCUACCAACAAAUAUAAAUAUUUUCUUGUAAUUUUUAAUUUAAAAAAUAGUAUAAAUUUAAAUAAAAAAAUUAUAAAUUUAA